CUUAGCUGUACUUAACUUCUAAUAAGAAUGGCCAGUGGAAACGUAAUUCCCUCUCAUGGAACCAACCUAAUUCAAACAUCCCAGGGGUUCCCCUGUGUUGCUGUUCAGGUAUCUGGAGCAAUACCAAAUCAUCAGUAUGGAGCUCAGCAACUUGGAACUUCCAUCAAUGCUCCUCAACAAGUGCCCCAAAAUAAUUUGGAGAGAUUCUUCAAUGCUGAGAUCAAAGUACUUGGGACCGUCCAAAUCAUGAUUGGGUUGAUGCACUUUGGCCUUGGGGCUGUUGCAAUUUGCCUUACGUUCGGAGGCUACUUUGCCAUUUCUGUAUUUGGAGGUUACUCCUUUUGGGGAGGGAUCUUAUUCAUUUCUUCUGGAUCACUAUGUAUAUCAGCUGCGAAGAAUCAAAAUCGUAGUUUGGUGAGAAAACUAUAAGGCUUUUGAAUGUCUUUUAUGCUAUUUAUUUGU